rnacentral:tRNA from 1 species
GUUGGUUUGGUGUUUUAGCAUUCUAAUUUUUCGUAUUAGGGGGGGUCUUUGGGCUGAUCAAUA